rnacentral:ncRNA from 1 species
CAAAAAGUGGUGAACUGUGCCUUGGUAGUGCAAAGCCAGAGGAAACACUGAUGGAAGUCCACAGAAAUGUUGAUCUGCAAAUCAGUCAUCCAAACCAAUUAUAAGGACAGAAGGCUAAUCAAGCCACCCAGUAGCU